GCCCCCGUGGCCCAACUGGCAGAGGCAGGCGACUUAAAAUCGCCACUGGUGCGGGUUCGACCCCCGUCGGGGGCACCA
rnacentral:tRNA from 1 species